GGUACGUUGACAGAGUGGUUAUGUAACGGACUGCAAAUCCGUGCACCUCGGUUCAAUUCCGAGACGUACCU
rnacentral:tRNA from 1 species